AAAAAGAUUCUGGUUCUGCACCACAGGAAUCAGAAGAACAAGAAGAUUAUCCAGUUCUCUCUCCCGCAAGAUUUAACAGAAGAAUAGUGGUGGAAGUUUCAAAUGAACUACCAGAGGCACCUCUCGAAAGAUGGGUGAACAAUGGAGAUGAGCAGCUCAAGGUGGUAAGAAUGACUACCUUUGAUAUAGCUAAAAACUGGAAUAACAUGG
rnacentral:lncRNA from 1 species